CACCUGGCCCGUGUUUCUUUCUCUCUUCACACUCUGCUGGCAUCAGACCACAGCCGGGGACCCAGGCGCUCCCGGCAUUUGGCGCCCGAACAGGGACCUGAAAGGAAGGCUUCCCCCGGCAGAGUGGCCCUGGACAAGGUGGGCUGUAUGGCCAACAGCCCUAGAAAAGGAGCUCCGGUCGUCAAGAGAAGAUGCUAACAAGGUGCACAUUUCGGGCCUCACUAUACACAGGGAUUCUUCGAUUUGACCUCUUUACUGGAUCUCUGCCAUCAGAGUGAUUGGGAAUACAAAAACACUGAGGUUGGGGCAGG